rnacentral:tRNA from 1 species
GGGGUUGUGGCUCAGUGGGAGAGCGCUUGUCUAACACAGGAGGCAAUGGGUUCGAUACUUAGCACCA